CCCUUAGACGUUCUGGGCCGCACGCGCGCUACACUGACCAGUGCAACAAGCAUCCGUCCUUGGCCGACAGGCCCGGGCAAUCUUUGAACGCUGGUCGUGAUGGGGAUAGACUUUUGCAAUUUUUGGUCUUCAACGAGGAAUUCCUAGUAAACGCAAGUCAUCAACUUGCAUUGAUUACGUCCCUGCCCUUUGUACACACCGCCCGUCGCACCUACCGAUUGAAUGGUCCGGUGAAGCCUCCGGAUUGGCGCGCACCUCGGUGCCGCCGAGAAGUUGACUAAACCUUACCAUUUAGAGGAAGGUGAANUCGUAACA
rnacentral:rRNA from 1 species